rnacentral:rRNA from 1 species
UACGUAGGGGGCAAGCGUUGUCCGGAGUUACUGGGCGUAAAGCGCACGCAGGCGGUCGAUUAAGUUUGGAGUGACAGUUGGUGGCUUAACUGCCAAAGUGCUUUGAAAACUGAUCGACUUGAGGGCUUCAGAGGGACACGGAAUUCCGGGUGGAGUGGUGAAAUGCGUAGAGAUCCGGAGGAACACCGAAGGCGAAGGCAGUGUCCUGGGGAGUACCUGACGCUCAGGUGCGAAAGCCAGGGGAGCGAACGAG